rnacentral:RNase_P_RNA from 3 species
CCUGUUCUUUGAGAUGAUCGCCCCGCAUCUGCGGGGAGGAACGUCCGGGCACCAAUGGAACGCCCUGCGGGUAACGCCCGUCGCCGCGCCAUAUAUACGGUAAAGGCGCAGUAGGACCAGUGCCACAGAGACGAGUCCCGCACUUGCUGCUUGCAGCAUGCGGGGAUUGAAACGCCUCGGAGUACCGAGGGUGGUGGCUUGCAAUCUGCAUUGAACUGAUUCAGUUCCGUGCCUUCGAUACCUUCAUGGAUUUCUAAUCCUCCAAGUAUCAAAGUGUGAGUUCACGACCGGUAAACUCUUGGCGGUGCAAGGAGGAUUUGGGUAGGAGGAAUUUUGCUCUGGUUCCGGAGCACCACCUACUCCUCCGCGUUGAGGUCUGCGAGUAAUCGCGAUCCCAGAUAGAUGAUCAUCACUCCGUACCAAGCAGUGUCGAAGUACGGAGGACAGAACCCGGCGUACCGAAGGACAGGAACA